rnacentral:lncRNA from 8 species
AUGAUUCAGAAGAUCAGACAGGAGGAGGAGGAACGCAGGGCAGCUGAGUUGGAGCUGCAGCGACUCGAGGAGGCGAUGAGUAAAGAAGAGGAUAGGAAGAGGCUGGCAGCGAUGGAGGACCAUGAGAAGAGAGAGUACCUGCAGAAACAGAAGGAGGAGGAAGAGGAGAGGAAGAAAGUAGUGGAGGAGAGAAAAAUCAGAGAGGAAGAGGCAGCGCAGUGGGCUAAAGAAGAGGCACGACUACAAGCUGAACUGUUCGCCAGGUAUCUCAAUCUCUUCAUUGUUGCUGCCAUGUCCAAUCCUUUACAGCAGAAGGGACGUUUGCAUACCGGUAGUUUCCUGAAAAAGGACCAAUGAGCAUCAACAUGUGAAGUGCAUAGGAACAUGUCAAAUUGGGUGUCAAAUGAAAGCUGAUAUUUUUGGGGGAAAUGAAGGUCUAGAUACAUUUUCACUCAUUUUCUAUCUUCAAAACGGGCAGUUCCACUGUAACAGAAUUAUUCUUUGACUCAGAUUUUCACUUUAAAAUGUAUGCCAAACAAAACUUAAAAGUUUAAGAAACAAACUCCAUACAUAAGGACUACUUUGAACAAUUUACACAGAAAAUUUCACAAAAACGCAUUUACUGAAAGAACUGUGCAGAUGCAAACUUUGGUAAAAUAAUUACACUAACAUCUCCCUCAAUGUUUAAUUCGAACUAAGAUUCAAAGAUGUCUUCAGAAAGAAGUGGGUUUCAUCUAUGACAUGAUACCUUUUGGGUUUUAAUUUUUUUAUUUGGGUUUUUGAACUACAGUAGAUGAAGUGGAUUUACAUCAGGACCAGGGUGGUAGGCCUGGCUAACAGGGUCUAGGGUGGUAGGCCUGGCUAGGCUAACAGGGACCAGGGUGGUAGGCCUGGCUAACAGGGACCAGGGUGGUAGGCCUGGCUAACAGGGUCUAGGGUGGUAGGCCUGGCUAACAGGGUCUAGGGUGGUAGGCCUGGCUAACAGGGACCAGGGUGGUAGGCCUGGCUAACAGGGUCUAGGGUGGUAGGCCUGGCUAACAGGGUCCAGGGUGGUAGGCCUGGCUAGGCUAACAGGGUCCAGGGUGGUAGGCCUGGCUAACAGGGUCCAGGGUGGUAGGCCUGGCUAGGCUAACAGGGUCUAGGGUGGUAGAACUGGCUAGGCUAACAGGGUCUAGGGUGGUAGGCCUGGCUAACAGGGUCCAGGGUGGUAGGCCUGGCUAACAGGGUCUAGGGUAGUAGGCCUGGCUAACAGGGACCAGGGUGGUAGGCCUGGCUAACAGGGUCUAGGGUGGUAGGCCUGGCUAACAGGGACCAGGGUGGUAGGCCUGGCUAACAGGGACCAGGGUGGUAGGACUGGCUAACAGGGUCUAGGGUGGUAGGCCUGGCUAACAGGGUCCAGGGUGGUAGGACUGGCUAACAGGGUCUAGGGUGGUAGGCCUGGCUAACAGGGUCUAGGGUGGUAGGCCUGGCU